GCGGCGACGGCUCCCUCACGCCUGGCGCCGGAAAGAUGCUUGCUGCUGUCUGCUGUGACUCUGGCGGCGGUGAUGACGCAGGAGGCCUCUGGUGCCGAGACACGGGCGUUCAGAGCGGCCAAGACUGCGGCCCAGCACCACCCCCGGCCCGGCCAGGCAUUCAUCGAGGCCAACUGUACCCGACACUUGUGCCCUAAUGUAACGCACGGUGCCCGACCUUAAGACCCCUAACUACUAACGACGCCUCCGAGCGAGCCCUCCCCCUCCUUUAUAUUCAACCAAAUGAAACCUAACUUAAUCCUCUGAGACGUCCACUCCCAUACGUAGGGCUAAUUAGGACAGGUGAACUCCUCAGGCAGCUCAACACAGUGUCCAUCAACAGCUCCAAGGAAUGGUGGGACAUCCGGCACAGCAAGGAUGGGCUGGCGGAGGAGGAGCUGUCCGUGAGUGGCUGCAGAGUGGUGUGGUCCCGAGGUCAGGCUGGCCGAGUGGGGUCCCGGCAGGUUGCCAGACCAGACUGAUAGACUUUUUUAUUACAAGGGCAAAAACAAAGACAACAGCAACACACUGCUCCCAACAAAGGUGUAAAGAACGGGAGGCCAAGAGCUGUGUGGCCUCCAAUCACCACCCGCCGAGGGAAUUUUUUUUUUUUUUUUUUUUUUUUUUUUU